UAGGCGGAUGUCCGCUGGUUUAGACGAUUAGCUGUUAACUAAAAGUUUGUGGGAUCGAGGCCCACCCGCCUAG
rnacentral:tRNA from 1 species